rnacentral:rRNA from 1 species
GACGAACGCUGGCGGCGUGCCUAAUACAUGCAAGUUGAGCGCUGAAGGUUGGUACUUGUACCAACUGGAUGAGCAGCGAACGGGUGAGUAACGCGUGGGGAAUCUGCCUUUGAGCGGGGGACAACAUUUGGAAACGAAUGCUAAUACCGCAUAAAAACUUUAAACACAAGUUUAAGUUUGAAAGAUGCAAUUGCAUCACUCAAAGAUGAUCCCGCGUUGUAUUAGCUAGUUGGUGAGGUAAAGGCUCACCAAGGCGAUGAUACAUAGCCGACCUGAGAGGGUGAUCGGCCACAUUGGGACUGAGACACGGCCCAAACUCCUACGGGAGGCAGCAGUAGGGAAUCUUCGGCAAUGGACGAAAGUCUGACCGAGCAACGCCGCGUGAGUGAAGAAGGGUUUCGGAUCGUAAAACUCUGUUGGUAGAGAAGAACGUUGGUGAGAGUGGAAAGCUCAUCAAGUGACGGUAACUACCCAGAAAGGGACGGCUAACUACGUG